rnacentral:rRNA from 1 species
UACAGAGGGUGCAAGCGUUAAUCGGAAUCACUGGGCGUAAAGCGCGUGUAGGCGGCUUGGCAAGUCGGAUGUGAAAUCCCGAGGCUCAACCUCGGAACUGCACUCGAAACUGCCUGGCUCGAGUCCCGGAGAGGGUGGCGGAAUUCCCGGUGUAGGGGUGAAAUCCGUAGAUAUCGGGAGGAACACCAGUGGCGAAGGCGGCCACCUGGACGGUGACUGACGCUGAGACGCGAAAGCGUGGGGAGCAAACAGG